GAUUGGCUGUGUGAGCUCCUUUCUGGUGCUCACUCUGUAUGGACUAGGGCCGGGUGCACAACAACACGCAAUCGCCAGACACACUAUUGGGCCCUGAGACAACACUCGGCCGACUUCGGUUGAAGUGGUGUCCCUCCAUCUCGGUGGUGGGGUGUGGUGUUUGAGUAUUGAAUAGUGGUUCCCUC
rnacentral:misc_RNA from 1 species